GACGAACGCUGGCGGCGUGCCUAAUACAUGCAAGUCGAGCGCAGGAAGCCGUUCCGAACCCUUCGGGGGGACGACGGUGGAAUGAGCGGCGGACGGGUGAGUAACACGUAAAGAACCUGCCCAUAGGUCUGGGAUAACCACGAGAAAUCGGGGCUAAUACCGGAUGUGUCAUCGGACCGCAUGGUCCGCUGAUGAAAGGCGCUCCGGCGUCGCCCAUGGAUGGCUUUGCGGUGCAUUAGCUAGUUGGUGGGGUAACGGACCACCAAGGCGACGAUGCAGAGCCGGCCUGAGAGGGUGAUCGGCCACACUGGGACUGAGACACGGCCCAGACUCCUACGGGAGGCAGCAGUAGGGAAUCUUCCACAAUGGACGAAAGUCUGAUGGAGCAACGCCGCGUGAACGAUGAAGGCUUUCGGGUCGUAAAGUUCUGUUGUAAGGGAAGAACAAGUGCCGCAGGCAAUGGCGGCACCUUGACGGUACCUUGCGAGAAAGCCACGGCUAACUACGUGCCAGCCGCCGCCGUAA
rnacentral:rRNA from 1 species